rnacentral:rRNA from 1 species
AACGUACGCUGGCGGCACGCCUAACACAUGCAAGUCGAACGCAGUAGCAAUACUGAGUGGCAGACGGGUGAGUAACAUGUGGGAAUCUGCCUUGUGGUUCAGGACAACAUUGGGAAACCGAUGCUAAUACUGGAUAAGCCCUUACGGGGAAAGUUUUAAUGCCAUAAGAUGAGCCCGCAUUUGAUUAGUUAGUUGGUGAGGUAAUGGCUCACCAAGACAAUGAUCAAUAGCUGAUCUGAGAGGAUGAUCAGCCACACUGGGACUGAGACACGGCCCAGACUCCUACGGGAGGCAGCAGUGGGGAAUCUUGCACAAUGGAGGAAACUCUGAUGCAGCGAUGCCGCGUGAGUGAAGAAGGUCCUUGGGUUGUAACGCUCUUUUGUAGGGGAAGAUAAUGACUGUACCCUAAG